GAAACGAGGUGCGGCAAGAACAAUCUCGGUGCGUGAAUACACAUGCCUGGAGUUGGGAUAAAGGAAAAUCUUACGGCAUAAUGUUGCUAGAGGCUUGCAGCUAUUCCUUAUGGACGAGGAAAACUUCAAUUAUCGUGAGAAGUUUGACGGGCUUCACGUGGAUAAGCGGCAGAACGACCUAGCGGUGGAGUUUCAUUCGGGUAAUGUGGUGCAGCAAGUGACACUGGAGGAUCAGUAUGGUUUGUUAAAGUGUACAAAAUUGUCAGAGCUGGAAAAGUGAAGGUAGGGUGUUUGGUAAAUAGUUUACGGUGAGGUUACUCGUAAGGGCGUCACUUGGUGAGAAAUAUGUAAAAAAAAAAAUGUGGCUAGUGUUGAUAAUUAUGUGCGGAGGAAAACUUAGGUCAUGUAGUUGAGAAUGGUAAAUAACCGUUUGUGAAAUAGAAUUGUUUAGGUGAGGUUUGUUAAAUCUUAGCACCUGUUGUGCUAAUGACAAUGAAUUGAAAGUAAUGUCAAUAUAGAAGUUGCUUGGAUAUGUAGAAUCCAGGAGCAUACAUAUUGGCUUUUAUUGUUCAUAAGGUAAAAUAUAAGUGGUAAUUAAAUAUUGUUUGAAAUUGAUGUUAAAGUAUAGUUCAGCGUAGGACUAAUAAUGAAUAACAUAAACAAUGUUUGAGGUAUGAUGUAAAAUGUACAAUCAAAGGACCUUAAAUGUUUUCAAUGUCUUUAAAAGAAUGUAUUAAAUGUUAAUAAAAAAAAAGGAAAUAUUAUCGUACUAUUUAACUUUGAUAUAUAGAUGUAUUAAAUUGUAUAAAGACUUGGACUAAGCUUGAAGAGUGCAGAUAGGAUUGAAAGUAAAUAGAAUGUGAUAGUAUGAAAUGAAAAUUGUGGUUGCUACACGCUUUAAGAAUCUAGUUUAUUGAUAGAAUAAGAUCACACGCAUGAAUGUUUUGAAUAAACAUAACUUAAUGAAAAAUGUUGGUUCUGUGAGUAGGCAUACUGGAUAAGCUCUUAGUUUAUAGACAACAUGAAUUGCGUAUUUCCUGAAAGAUAAUUUUGAAAGGUAGCAAAUAUAAUGUCGUUAGUUGCGUAUUGAGUAGGCAUACCUUACAAGGUGUGGGGCUGUGUAGCAUUUGUAAAUAUUUCAUAUUUGCUUUUAGUUGAAAAGUGUUUGAAUAUGGAUGGAGGUAGUUAUUAUAUUUUAUUUGAUAGGUAUGUUUUAGACAAAGACGUGUAAACACUAUUAUUUGAAAGUUGUUGUAGCACCGCAAAAGAUUUCAUGUGAUGUUGCUGUUCCGUAGUUAUUGUUAUUGUUAAAGAUGCAUAGGGACUGUAGCCUUGAAUGUGUCUUGACAUUUUAAUAGAAAUGUAUAGAUAAUCUAUAGUGAAUGUUGAUGAUAUAGAAAUAUAUUGACUACUAGAUAGUAGUAUCUUGUUAAUAAUGAAUAGUUUAUAGGUAAUGAACAAUGUAAGAAUAGGCAGUAUUUCGCUAUGGUUAUAGAUUAGUAGGGAACACAUGGAGUUAGGUAUGGAGAAUUAGCAGUUUAGUGAAAAUAUAAGCCUUGUCAUCGAUAAAAUGUAUGAUGUGAAUUAGAUAUGAAUUAAAGGUUAACACGUA